AUGGGUUUGUUACUUAAGGCUUCGAUGUGGGUAGCAAUGGUGUUAGAAGAAGAAGAAAAAGAGUGGAAAUUAGAAAGAUGGCUUCCACCAUUAACAAGUGAACGAAGAAUAAAAGAAGGAAGCAUACUCAUAUCUUGAAAGUAAGCAAAGAGAGGUGAGGUUGAAAAUGAAAGCAGAAAUGGCGGCGGAGGCAGUAGCAGAAGAAGUCUAAAUUUUGGGUUGCGAAGGGGUGUUUAGGGAAGCGUAAUUGGUCAUGUUUAA
rnacentral:lncRNA from 1 species